ACAAACGCUGGCGGGGUGCGUGAGACAUGCAAGUCGAACGAGGAGCCUCCGAGCUUGCUUGGAGGCUUCCUAGUGGCGGACGGCUGAGUAACGCGUAGGUGACCUGCCCGGAAGUGGGGAAUAACUGCCCGAAAGGGUGGCUAAUACCGCAUGUGGUCGACGAUUCGCUUCGUCGUCUAAAGGAGCAAUCCGCUUCCGGAGGGGCCUGCGUCCGAUUAGCUAGUUGGUGGGGUAACGGCUCACCAAGGCGACGAUCGGUAGCUGGUCUGAGAGGAUGAUCAGCCAGACUGGGACUGAGAACGGCCCAGACUCCUACGGGAGGCAGCAGUCGGGAAUUUUGCCCAAUGGACGAAAGUCUGAGGCAGCAACUCCGCGUGAGGGACGAAGGCUCUCGGGUCGUAAACCUCUUUUCUCAGGGAAGAUCCAAGACGGUACCUGAGGAAUAAGCCACGGCUAACUACGU
rnacentral:rRNA from 1 species